rnacentral:rRNA from 1 species
CAGCCGCCGCGGUAAUACCGGCGGCUCGAGUGGUGGCCACUAUUACUGGGCUUAAAGCGUUCGUAGCUGGUUUGUUAAGUCUCUGGGGAAAUCUUCCGGCUCAACCGGAAGGCGUCUCAGGGAUACUGGCAGACUAGGGACCGGGAGAGGUGAGGGGUACUCCAGGGGUAGGAGUGAAAUCCUGUAAUCCUUGGGGGACCACCUGUGGCGAAGGCGCCUCACCAGAACGGCUCCGACAGUGAGGGACGAAAGCUGGGGGAGCAAACCGGAUUAGAUACCCGGGUAGUCCCAGCUGUAAACGAUGCGCGUUAGGUGUAUCACUGACCACGAGUCAGUGAGGUGCCGAAGAGAAAUCGUGAAACGUGCCGCCUGGGAAGUACGGUCGCAAGGCUGAAACUUAAAGGAAUUGGCGGGGGAGCACCACAACAGGUGGAGCCUGCGGUUUAAUCGGACUCAACGCCGGGAAACUCACCAGUUAAGACAGCUGAAUGAUAGUCGGGCUGAAGACUCUACUUGACUAGCUGAGAGGUGGUGCAUGGCC